GUAAAGAAGCUGAUGGCAGCUGGAUUAGUGAUGUGCCCAUCUCACUUUCUCUCAGAUGUGUCCAGCUCUUCGUGAUCCCAUGGACUGCAGCCUGCCAGGCUACUCUGUCCAUGCAAUUCUUCAGGCGAGAAUACGGGAGUGGGUUGCCAUGACCUCCUCCAGGGGAUCUUCCCAACCCAAGGAUCGAACCUGCAUCUCUGGCAUCUCCUGUAUUGGCAGCAACAUGGAUGGAUGUAGAAGCUGUCAUACUGAGUGAAGUACGUCAGACACAGAAAGACAAGUGUCGUAUGAUACCACUUAUCUGUGUAAUCUAAAACAAAGGAUACAAACAAACUUAUUUACAGAGCAGAAGGAGAGUCACAGAUGUAGGAAACAAAGUUUUGGUUACUACAAGGGGCUCUAGUUAGAGGAAGACUGGAUUUCAGCAUUAGCUGUACUACUUCCUUAUGAUGUGACCUGCACCUCGGUGUCCAAUUUUCCAUCUGAGACAUGGAAGAAAAAUGCCCUUAGAGGCUUUGGUGAAGAAUCUACAAGUUAAUAUAUGGAAGGCACUUAGAAAGCAGCAUGGCUCAGACUAAAGAAAACAGAAGAUCGAGACAGGCUAAGUGAAGAUCACAAAGCCAGUCAAUGUGGAGCUGAAUCUGAGACUGAGGACUUCUAAUGCUUGGUUCAAAGAGCAAGCAGGAGAUAAAAUAGUAGCGUACUGGAUUCAUUAAAU
ensembl:lncRNA